rnacentral:lncRNA from 1 species
UAGAAUUUACAUAUUUUACCAUAAAUUUUUUUUGGCUUCGUGCUCGAACUAUACACGCAAAUUGAGGCAACUAAAAGUGAGGUUUCCAUGGCCUCGGAAGCCCAGAAAAACGAUGAAUUACGGUGAUGACCCUUUGAGUCGUCAAAUUGUAACUUUAACUAACAAGUAAGAAAAUAAGGGUCUCAACUAGAAGGGGGGUUUUCACAUAAUAUUGCAAGUAAAUUGAAAGUUUGAAGAAAAUAAAGGAAGCAGAAUUUUAAGGAAAUAGUUUGAACAAUUUUGAAAAAAUAAUACAAGUAAAGGGGAAGGGGGUCCUAGGUUUACAAACAAUAUGCAUCACAUCAAUGAAAUACCAAGUAAUCACUUCUUAGAAGAGGAACUACAUGAGGUAUUAGCGCAUCGGUCAUCAUAUCCAUAUCUAACCUUUAC